rnacentral:tRNA from 1 species
GCGCCCGUAGCCUAACGGAUAGGGCACUUGUCUUCGGAACAAGGGGUUGGGGGUUCGAAUCCCUCCGGGCGCG